rnacentral:lncRNA from 1 species
UACCAUGCUGUCAAAAUUAAAUCAAUAUGGCUACUAAUCUUAUUCUAUCUGUUCUUCAUGAGUUUUAGAUAAUUUUAGUUGUAUUUCUUUGUAAUUUUGUGUUGUACAAAGAUUAAUUUAACAUUUUCUCUGGAAGUAUUAAUUUAGAAAGAUAAUAUGCUUCAUUGGUGUUGUGUUUUGAAGUGUGAAAUGCAAAGUAAUUGUGAUAAAGUCAAGAUAAAGUUCACUUUUAAACUGAACUAAAUAAGGUAUCAUCUGAGAGACAACAAUGGUUAAAUGCAAUACAAUGUACAGGUUUUACUAGCGAAAUGAAAAUAUUCCUGUCCUGUCUGCUGUAAUCAUUUUAUAUCUGGAAAACCAGCAGACUUAAUCGAUAAUAACAAUCUCCAGAUUGGGUUCCUUCAAUAAAUAUGGGCUAUAAACACAAUGGAAUAAGUUCCCCAAAAUCUAAAAUGGAGUGGUAUCAAAGGAGAAUUAAAGGAAAAAAUAUUCAUAUUGAAAUUAUUUAUAAGGCACUGGACUGUCUUAAAUUCUACAAUAAUACUAGAAUCAGCUGAGAGAAGUGGUCUACAAAAAACCAGGAAGGAAACGGAAUAUGUGGCUACGAAAGGCAAAAGAAAGGUUUACAAAGCAAAUGUGACACAUUUUUUUGAAAUAUUUAGGAAUAUCAGUAAAUUGCAUUAAAAAAAUGUAUGAAAAGAUUUUGUUCAAUAAAAAUGUUUAUAUUUAUCAAA